GGGUUCGGGAAGAUUUUCUCCCGGAGGACUUGGGUGGUCGGGCCGCCACUC
rnacentral:ncRNA from 1 species